GACGAACGCUGGCGGCGUGCUUAACACAUGCAAGUCGAACGGAAAGGCCCUGCUUUUGUGGGGUGCUCGAGUGGCGAACGGGUGAGUAACACGUGAGUAACCUGCCCUUGACUUUGGGAUAACUUCAGGAAACUGGGGCUAAUACCGGAUAGGAGCUCCUGCUGCAUGGUGGGGGUUGGAAAGUUUCGGCGGUUGGGGAUGGACUCGCGGCUUAUCAGCUUGUUGGUGGGGUAGUGGCUUACCAAGGCUUUGACGGCUAGGCGGCCUGAGAGGGUGACCGGCGACAAUAGGACUGAGAUACGGCGCAGACUGCAACGGGAGGCAGAAGUGGGGAAUAUUGCACAAUGGGCGGAAGCCUGAUGCAGCAACGCCGCGUGCGGGAUGACGGCCUUCGGGUUGUAAACCGCUUUCGACUGUGACGAAGCGUGAGUGACGGUAAUGGGUAAAGAAGCACCGGCUAACUACGUG
rnacentral:rRNA from 1 species